rnacentral:other from 1 species
AUUAACCUGAAAUGUACGACAACUCCUGUUAGUUUUGAACCUACAGAUACUUUAAACGGGAUUCCUACAUCAUCUGGCGGCUGCCAAGCCCUCACUCUUUUAUGAGGAUUGGAAGGGAAGGCAAAUGUGCAGAUUGCGGUGACCCACCUAGCGCGGCUAGGAGUCAAAAGGCAGGAACCGGCAUUUUGGGUAUAAA